UACGGGGGGGGCAAGCGUUGUUCGGAUUCACUGGGCGUAAAGGGUGCGUAGGUGGUGAGGUAAGUCGGAUGUGAAAGCUCGGAGCUCAACUCCGAAAUGGCAUUGGAAACUACCUUGCUCGAGGGUUGGAGGGGGGACUGGAAUGCUUGGUGUAGCAGUGAAAUGCGUAGAUAUCAAGCGGAACACCAGUGGCGAAGGCGAGUCCCUGGACAACUCCUGACACUGAGGCACGAAAGCUAGGGGAGCAAACAGG
rnacentral:rRNA from 1 species